AACCUCCGCAAUGUGAGAAAUCGCGACGGGGGGAUCCCAAGUGCCAUUCUUAACGGGAUGGCUUUUCAUUAGUGUAAAGAGCUUUUGGAAUAAGAGCUGGGCAAGACCGGUGCCAGCCGCCGCGGUAACACCGGCAGCUCUAGUGGUAACAAUUUUUAUUGGGCCUAAAGCGUCCGUAGCCGGUUUAAUAAGUCUCUGGUGAAAUCCUGUAGCUUAACUGUGGGAAUUGCUGGAGAUACUAUUAGACUUGAGACCGGGAGAGGUUAGAGGUACUCCCAGGGUAGAGGUGAAAUUCUGUAAUCCUGGGAGGACCGCCUGUUGCGAAGGCGUCUAACUGGAACGGUUCUGACGGUGAGGGACGAAAGUUAGGGGCGCGAACCGGAUUAGAUACCCGGGUAGUCCUAACUGUAAACGAUGCGGACUUGGUGUUGGGGUGGCUUUGAGCUGUCUCAGUGCCGAAGGAAGCUGUUAAGUCCGCCGCCUGGGAAGUACGGUCGCAAGACUGAAACUUAAAGGAAUU
rnacentral:rRNA from 1 species